AUCGCUGGAUUCAGAGUCGCGGUUCUCCGAGGACGAGAUCCAACCAUUGCACUGAGGUUGGAUUGACUCUGCGAUUAUCCCAAAAGUGGGUAAAUCGAUAUCCAAUUUCUGAUAGUGGGAGACUGCGUUCGCGCUAUUUCCCU
rnacentral:snRNA from 1 species